rnacentral:rRNA from 1 species
CUACGGGGUGCAGCAGUGGGGAAUAUUGCACAAUGGGGGAAACCCUGAUGCAGCAACGCCGCGUGGAGGAUGACACAUUUCGGUGCGUAAACUCCCUUUAUAUAAGAAGAUAAUGACGGUAUUAUAUGAAUAAGCACCGGCUAACUCCGUGCCAGCAGCCGCGGUAAUACGGAGGGUGCAAGCGUUAUUCGGAAUCACUGGGCGUAAAGGGUGCGUAGGCGGUUUGGAAAGUCAGGUGUGAAAGCCCGGGGCUCAACUCCGGAACUGCACUUGAAACUUCCAGACUAGAAUACUGAAUGGGGCAGAUGGAAUUAGUGGUGUAGGGGUAAAAUCCGUAGAUAUCACUAGGAAUACCGAAAGCGAAAGCGAUCUGCUGGGAAGUUAUUGACGCUGAGGCACGAAAGCGUGGGGAGCAAACAGGAUUAGAUACCCGGGUAGUC